CCUACGGGAGGCAGCAGUGAGGAAUAUUGGUCAAUGGGCGCGAGCCUGAACCAGCCAAGUAGCGUGAAGGAUGACUGCCCUACGGGUUGUAAACUUCUUUUAUAAAGGAAUAAUGUGAUGCUCGUGUGCCUUUUUGUAUGUACUUUAUGAAUAAGGCUCGGCUAACUCCGUGCCAGCAGCCGCGGUAAUACGGAGGCUCCGAGCGUUAUCCGGUUUUGUUUGGUGUAAAGGGAGCGUAGAUGGGUUGUUAAGUCAGUUGUGAACGUUUGCGGCUCAACCGUAAAAUUGCAAUGGAUACUGGCAGUCUUGAGUACAGUUGAGGUAGGCGGAAUUCGUGGUGUAGCGGUGAAAUGCUUAGAUAGCACGAAGAACUCCGAUUGCGAAGGCAGCUUAAUAAACUGCCACUGACAUUGAUGCUCGAAGGUGUGGGUAUCAAACAGGAUUAGAUACCCGGGUAGUC
rnacentral:rRNA from 1 species